UACGUAGGGUGCAAGCGUUGUCCGGAAUUAUUGGGCGUAAAGAGCUCGUAGGCGGCUUGUCGCGUCGGCUGUGAAAACCUGGGGCUCAACCCCGGGCCUGCAGCCGAUACGGGCAAGCUAGAAUUCGGUAGGGGAGACUGGAAUUCCUGGUGUAGCGGUGAAAUGCGCAGAUAUCGGGAGGAACACCUAUGGCGAAGGCAGCUCGCUGGGACGUUACUGACGCUGAGACGCGAAAGCGUGGGGAGCAAACAGG
rnacentral:rRNA from 1 species